CCUCACUCAGUCAACAAAUAUUAAACGCCCCUAAAGUGUCAGGCAUGAUGCUAAACAUUUGGUGAUGUACCAAAAAAGGCAAAAAACAGUCCUCGAUGCCAGGAGCUCUCAGUCUAAUAGGGGAUGUCAUGAAACAACUCUGGACAGACAAGAUAAAAAACGAGGCAAAUUGGAAGACAUCAGCCGAGGGAAGGUAUUAGCAUCAAGGGGAAUUGGGAAAGGCUUCUUGUAAAAGGAGACUUAACAGCUAGAAUGAUAAUGAAGCACAAGUGUCAGGAGCCAGGACUGCCAAAUAAGCCUGGAGGAAGGAUCCUAUGACACUGUCUUGGUGCUGCCGCCCCAACAUGACCCAUUGCCAGUAAGAAGGCCAGAGAAAGCCUCCAGGCUUUCCUCCAGGAGUUUCUGUGUGUCUAGCAGGGCAUUUCCCCUCCCUGGGUAGCAGGGAUGCUACAGGUGCCAGGAACUUUCUGUAUAGCACACCUCAUCUUUAAAUCGUCAUUUGGCAAGCCAGUGCACUUUGAAAAGAGAGACUGAGAUUGUGCUUUUCUCUUUUGGCCCAUCCUGUCCCAAACCUAGGUAUGAUCAAUUUUUGAGAUGCUCAUAAAAAAAGAAAAUGCUCCAUUCACAACUUUCUUCUAAAUAGUAAUCUCUUCCAUUUUGGGGUGUGUGUGUAUGGAUGUGCAUGAGUGUGUGUUCUCUAUCUAUACUUGUAUAGUUAGAUAGAAAGGUUCACUCCAUGUCCUAGUGAUACACAAUGACCACAGUCCAUCUCCAGUCCCCAGAUUUAGUUACACAUCAUCCCAUGGAGGUGAAGACUUGAGCCCUCCAAGUUGCACUUUUGCCUUUUUCCAUGAAUUACCUCAUGAACUCCAUUCACCCUUAGACUCAUUGUCAGCCAACAUCCCACCCUUCAGUGAAAGCAGCAAAAGACCAACAGCAAGUCUGUGUGAGCUUCCUUUUUUUUAUCCCCUAUUAUUUUUUACAUUUGGGAAAUGUUUGUAAUAAAGAUUGUCCUUAAUAAACCUGG